GCUUAACGAAACAAAAAACUUUAUCCUGUUCCAGGUUCAGUGACGUGUCAUGGAAAUAUGGUAGAAAAUGCCAACUGUCCUAAAGACCAGUACAUGGUGGUCAAGACUGCAUCGUACCGUGGAUUGCUGGCCACAAAGACAUGUGGUUUGAGUGAUGAUUAUAGUUGUGAAGUUAAUGUAACAUGUCUUGUUAAGAAACUUUGUGAUGGUCAACAUGAGUGUAAUAUAACUGUGGACGAAAGCUUAUUCCUUGUUCAUUUAUGUCCUGGAUUGUCAAAGUAUCUUUACUUUGAAUAUCAAUGUGCUGGCAA
rnacentral:lncRNA from 1 species